CAGUCGCCGCGGUAAUACGAAGGGGGCUAGCGUUGCUCGGAAUGACUGGGCGUAAAGGGCGCGUAGGCGGCGGCCAAAGUCAGGCGUGAAAUUCCCGGGCUCAACCUGGGGCUGCGUUUGAUACUUGGUUGCUUGAGUGGGGAAGAGGGUCGUGGAAUUCCCAGUGUAGAGGUGAAAUUCGUAGAUAUUGGGAAGAACACCGGUGGCGAAGGCGGCGACCUGGUCCUUUACUGACGCUGAGGCGCGAAAGCGUGGGGAGCAAACAGGAUUAGAUACCCCUGUAGUCCCUGUCUCUUAUACC
rnacentral:rRNA from 1 species